GGGUCUGAACCACAGGAGAAGCCCUGAAUCUAAGAAUGAGGCCAAUCAGGGCUGAGUGGUCAGGUUGAAAGAAUCAGCUAAUAGAAAAGCAGACUUGGCUGAGUGAAGGGAUGACCCAGCAACCAGGCUGCAGUGCGUUAAGGCUGAUGAGGCACUUGGAGAGGUGACCCGGAGUGCGGACUGUGAAAACGAGUCUCAGAACCCAAGCUCUGGCCCUCAUGGUGAAACGAGAAGAGUACUAGGGCUUUUCUUCAGGGAGCCUGGGAGGGCAUUCGAGGGAGCAGGACUGCCGAGCUUGCAAGGGAUGAAGCCUACCAGGUGCCUGAAGGAAUAACCGACCAGAGACUGGUGAACCUCGCUGGAGAUAGCCAAGAAUGGAACUACUCUGCUAAUAUAUGCUGACUGACAGCAAACUAUUCCGGCCUUCAGUUGACUGGAAGAGGGCCACCCAGUUAGGGUGAGGAAUCUGUUUUACUCAGUCUAGCAAUUUUUAAUUUUUUAAUAUUUAUUUUUAUUUAUAUGGCCAUGC
rnacentral:lncRNA from 1 species